UGGCUCAGAGGGUAAAGCAUCCGCCUGCAAUGCGGGAGACCCGGGUUCGAUCCCUGG
rnacentral:tRNA from 1 species